UGUUGAUGAAAGUAAUUUAAUAUAUGGAAAAGAUAAAAUAUAGCACAAUAAGGAAAAGGGUGAAAAACCCUUGCUGUAGUCGCAGCUGUAAUCAGGAAUUUAGGUUGAUGUUUUUGCCACUGUUUGUAUACAAAUGGGAAGGUUCGGCCUAAAGAUGAUCUGAAAGCCAGAAAACUUGGUGUUGUAUUUCUUCUCGAU
rnacentral:ncRNA from 18 species